GACGAACGCUGGCGGCGUGCCUAAUACAUGCAAGUAGAACGCACAGUUUAUACCGUAGCUUGCUACACCAUAGACUGUGAGUUGCGAACGGGUGAGUAACGCGUAGGUAACCUGCCUGGUAGCGGGGGAUAACUAUUGGAAACGAUAGCUAAUACCGCAUAAUAUUAAUUAUUGCAUGAUAAUUAAUUGAAAGGUGCAAUUGCACCACUACCAGAUGGACCUGCGUUGUAUUAGCUAGUAGGUGAGGUAACGGCUCACCUAGGCGACGAUACAUAGCCGACCUGAGAGGGGGAUCGGCCACACUGGGACUGAGACACGGCCCAGACUCCUACGGGAGGCAGCAGUAGGGAAUCUUCGGCAAUGGACGAAAGUCUGACCGAGCAACGCCGCGUGAGUGAAGAAGGGUUUCGGAUCGUAAAGCUCUGUUGUAAGAGAAGAACGGGGGUGAGAGUGGAAAGUUCACACUGUGACGGUAGCUUACCAGAAAGAGACGGCUAACUACGUG
rnacentral:rRNA from 1 species